rnacentral:misc_RNA from 5 species
UUCUGUGUAGAGUUAAGUAAACCGGUAGCCAACCAGCUAUCAUUGCUGACAUCGAAUUCAGCCACAGAUACCA